AGGGUUUUUAAGACAUUAGCCGGUUUUACUUCGUUUCUCCCAUCAGCCGUUUUCCUCCAUCUCAUCUCCCUCUUUCUCUCUCUCUCUCCUCAAUCUACAACUUUAAAUUGCUCAGAUCUUCGUUAUUUAGAUCUGAAUUGUGAAUUUCUGUCAACUUAUUUGGACUAAUUGUUCGAAGAUCUACGUUUUGAGUAUGAUUUCUUUGGUAUUCGUCCAUGGCUAAUCUCUGAAAUCUGAUUCAAAGUGCCAUGAUGCUAAAUCUUGAGUAUCUCACCUCCAUCGAAGCUCCAUUUUAGAAGCUUCUGAGCUUUAACUCCUUAUUGAAACAAAAUCAAAGGUUUGGAUGAACUCAACUCUUGGUGUUUCAUUCGUUUUCGUCAGAUAGAGGAUCGUUGAAGGUCACCGAGGAUGAGUUUACUGGCCCUCCUAUCAAUGAUCAGAAGAAAGUAGGAGCCAUAGCCUAACUUUUCCUGGCAUUUGCCACUCCAUUCAUCUAGCUUCUGAGGAAAACAGGUAGUAUUUUAAUGUGCUGCAGACAGUGCUUGUGUAGCAACACUAAGGAAAUCGGUGUAUUAUGGGUUUUGCGAUUGAUUUUGUUAGAAUGAUGGUUUUUUUUUAAAACAAUUUUGGUUCAUGGAUUUGUUAUUAAAAGGGGAAACGAGUUAUUUUUUUUAUUGGGGUACACUUACAUGAUGAAAAUAUUGAAGUUGAUUAGAUGUUAUAAACCCAACAAAGUAGAUUGUUGGUUAAGCACAAUCUCUGGGUUAAAGGACAAAACCGAUCCUUUGAAUUUUGCAUAAACUAAAUUGGCUUAUCUUUGCAUUAUUUUUUCUUCAUAAUCAAGCUGAUAAAGAAAUAAGGAGUAUGAUUGAAAAGGUAAGGGCCUAAGUUUCAUUGUCUAUGAAUAGAUGCUUUGUACCCUGAAGGCCUGCCCUAUUGAUUGUUGUAGCAUUCACAAUUUGCUUGUGUCCAUUUCUCCACUCAUAUCAGUUUUGAACAUUUAUAUGUGAUGUCUUAUAUAUGUUCAUUCAAGUAAUUCAUUUAUUGUCAGUACUUGGCAGUAGCAUUGACUACUAAGAAUUCAUUCAUUAUAUGUGAUGUCUUAUAAAUGUGGUCUGUUUUUGCGGGACAAUGAAUUUGUCUAUGUGGUGCAUCUAUAAAGUACCAUGCCCUAGCUAAUAAGGCAAACGAUUUGGUUUCUAGCCUCUGUCAUUGAUGGUUUAAUGAACAAUCUAACUUCAUCUUAAUUCAAAUCUCUAUUUAAGUUGCUAUAUUUUAAUUCUGGUUAAAAUUUAACUUUCCUUUUCUAUUAUCUAUCUAUUUGAGCCACUGUCUUGAACUCAAUUUGGAUGAUAUUAUGAAAUUGCAAAAGCAGUGGUUGGCUAUUUGGCCGUAUGUAUUAGAUAUAUAUUGUUAGUGUUACACUUUUGAGAGAUAUGAUGAGCAUGUUACUUUUCACAUAUGAUAGCAUAGUUAAUCUCCUGUAUCAAUUUUGAGAGAUAUGACAACAUAUUGAAUGCUCUCCCUUUGCGUAUUUGAUAGCAUAGUUAUUCUCCUGUUUUCCUGAUCUUACUUCUCUUAAUCAAGUCUGCAUAAUUUUUCUGGUUAGUUGUAAUAUUUGAUCUACUGACAGGUAGGAGGUUGGACAUAUGGAAACUUACUCACAUUUACAACUGUGAGGGGUGCUGCACAUAUGGUAUGCACAACCUAGUGAAGCAAAGAGGCAGUCUCUACUAGAGAAACAAUUCUGAAGAAGCUGCGGAAAAUACUGUUGAAAUGAACAAUGUCAAUCUGGAGAGUAUUGCAGAAAAAUCUUUAUUCUUAAGUCAACUUGUAUUAUUAAUUUAUUAUUAUUACCAUUAAGGUUUGCUUUUGCUUUUUUUUUUUUUAGUUUGGUAAUAAUGAAUUAUGAUUGCAGCCUUGCAAGCUUUUGCUGAUUGUUUUUGAAGUAUAUACCACAAGUGUACUUGUAUAAAAUAAUAAAAUAUCAUUCAUUGGUUGGUAUGCUA